AGCGAACGCUGGCGGCAGGCUUAACACAUGCAAGUCGAGCGGGCAUCUUCGGAUGUCAGCGGCAGACGGGUGAGUAACACGUGGGAACGUACCCUUCGGUUCGGAACAACUCUGGGAAACUGGAGCUAAUACCGGAUACGCCCUUAUGGGGAAAGGUUUACUGCCGAAGGAUCGGCCCGCGUCUGAUUAGCUAGUUGGUGGGGUAACGGCCUACCAAGGCGACGAUCAGUAGCUGGUCUGAGAGGAUGAUCAGCCACGCUGGGACUGAGACACGGCCCAGACUCCUACGGGAGGCAGCAGUGGGGAAUAUUGGACAAUGGGCGCAAGCCUGAUCCAGCCAUGCCGCGUGAGUGAUGAAGGCCUUAGGGUUGUAAAGCUCUUUUGUCCGGGACGAUAAUGACGGUACCGGAAGAAUAAGCCCCGGCUAACUUCGUG
rnacentral:rRNA from 1 species